AAAGUCGUAACAAGGUUUCCGUAGGUGAACCUGCGGAAGGAUCAUUAACACGUAUCCGAACGUCAAAAAAAACCCUGUGCAUCUUCAUUGGUUGGUUUGCGAACGACUCUAGCGCCAGCCUGCAAUAAUUACUCCAAGCAAUCAAUGUUCUGUCAGUGUACAUUGGUUGUAACGGUGGUACUCCCCAAUAACCACCAACAAGUACUUCUGCGCUCCUCGAAAAAACCCGAGGUGUAGCUAAAAUUAAUACAACUGUUAACAAUGGAUAUCUUGGUUCUC
rnacentral:misc_RNA from 1 species